CACUCUUCCUGCCCUCGAGGAGCUCACAGUCUAGUGUGUGCCAUCCCCACUAGACUGAGGCUCCUGGAGGACAGGGGUCGUCACACUCACCUC
rnacentral:pre_miRNA from 1 species